rnacentral:miRNA from 1 species
UAGUGCUGCAAUGUAAAACAUUGCAGUUCCAGAUAAACUGCAAUGUUUACAUUGCAGCACUA